rnacentral:rRNA from 1 species
GACGAACGCUGGCGGCGUGCUUAACACAUGCAAGUCGAACGGAAAGGCCCUGCUUUUGUGGGGUGCUCGAGUGGCGAACGCGUGAGUAACACGUGAGUAACCUGCCCUUGACUUUGGGAUAACUUCAGGAAACUGGGGCUAAUAUCGGAUAUGAGCUCCUGCUGCAUGGUGGGGGUUGGAAAGUUUCGGCGGUUGGGGAUGGACUCGCGGCUUAUCAGCUUGUUGGUGGGGUAGUGGCUUACCAAGGCUUUGACGGGUAGCCGGCCUGAGAGGGUGACCGGCCACAUUGGGACUGAGAUACGGGCCAGACUCCUACGGGAGGCAGCAGUGGGAGAUAGUGCAAGAUGGGCGGAAGCCUGAUGCAGCAACGCCGCGUGCGGGAUGACGGCCUUCGGGUUGUAAACCGCUUUCGCCUGGGACGAAGCGUGAGUGACGGUAAUGGGUAAAGAAGCACCGGCUAACUACGUG